ensembl:lncRNA
AGUCAGUCUUGCUGUUUGAGAUGUUGAGGAGUUAUUAAGGCAUUUUGUAUCAUGUUUUAAAACGAUAAACGGACCAAAAACAGGCAGAUCAGGCAACAGAGGGCAGGCAACAGAGGGCACACAGACAGCAGAGCUGGGGACGGAUGGGCAGAGGCAGACAGGGAGUCUCAGGAGACAGACUGUGAGGCAGUGAGGGUGGUUAAAGGGAAAGAGCCAAGGAGAGAGACUUCAGAGGACAGUGUCACAGCCACGGCAGGACCAGGUGUCAACCUUGUUGCCAGCAGCACCAGUAUAGGGGACAGUGUCACAGCCACGGCAGGACCAGGUGUCAACCUUGUUGCCAGCUGCACCAGUAUAGGGGACAGUGUCACAGCCACGGCAGGACCAGGUGUCAACCUUGUUGCCAGCUGCACCAGUAUAGGGGACAGUGGCACAGCAUUGUCCAGUUACCUCAGUGAUGGCACGAAACCAUAUCAGCCACACCCACAAUUUAUAGAACCGCAAACUCUUGCCAACAGAGUGUUGAUAUUUCAAGAGAGAUGGUUUCGCGAUUUCCCCUGGCUACAUUAUAAUCCAUCAAUAAAAGGAGUUGUUUUCACUGUAGCCAAGGGUUUUCAAGCCAGCCAUCUUUUGGCCAAAGAGCGGAUGCUGCCUUCAUUAGUGCAGGAUUUAGGAACUGGAGAAAAGCCAUUGUAAAAUUCACAGCACAUCAAAACUGCCAAACCCACCGCCACUGUGUAACUGUAACAGCACACCAGCUAAAUCCAAUCAGUGUCCAGUUAUCCAGCGCGUGGGGUAAACAGCAGAAAUUACAAAAGUUACCUUGCACUGUAUGAGAAAGCAACAACAUUGAUUGAAUUCAUUGAGACACUCAAUACGAUUUGCUGGCAAAGCAGUGGAUCACUAUAGGACAGAAUUUUUUAAAGUGUUGGAUGGUGUGGAGGUUCAGUUUGGCGACUGUUUUGACCAGGACAGUCUAAACAUUCUGUAAAAUUUGGAAAGAGUGCUUCUCACGGGGGAGUUGGAUGAGUCUCUAGAUCAGUACCCUGAGCUGAACAUAGAUUCUCUUUCAGUGCAGUUGCCUCUCUUUCGCAACCAAUACCCCUGUAGCAGCAGUUGAGAGGCAGCAGAGGUCCUCAGGAGGCUUCCAGUGGAGGUGCGGGGGUUGGUUGACCAAGUUGAGGUGCUGAUCAGAAUUUUGUCUGUAAUGUACGUAAAGACAGGCUGGACAGUCUUGAGGGAAAAUAUCUGCCAGCAAUUUGUUGGAUCCAUUGAAACCCUCAAACAUAUGUUUGGUUCUUUUGUUCAGUGGUGUGUAUAGCAGUGGUUCUCAACCUUUUUUGAGUACUGGAACCCCUGCAUAUUUUGAGGAAAGGCAGGCAAGGUUUUGAGUGGUCCUCAGGGACCUCCACCCCCUCUAUAUUAUAUGUAAAGUUAGUGGAAUCCUUGUGCUGCUGAAUACGUUCAUUACACUUUUUUAUUUCAUGGACUCCUUGCCAUUACACCAGGGACCCCUAGGGGUCCACCUACCCUGUUUGAGAACCCCUGGUGUAUAGUAUGAUAUUUGUUAUUUUGUUUAGUAGUUUUUAGUACACAGUACACUUACUAAUUAUUUAUUUAAUUUAAAAUUGUAUACUUUGUGUGACAUACUUGUCCAUAGCUGUUGUUUGAAGAGUUGAGACACUGACGGAACAAUAACUAAGUAUUUCUGAAGGAUAUUUUGGUUGAUUUGUUUGGGUUUUUCAUUGAAGUAGUUAUUUUACUUUUAGAACUGUACUUAUUCUGAACGUUUUGUUCUUGUAAAGAUGUUGUAAUAGACUCAAACCAGUGGCACAUAUUUAAUGACUAUAUAUGUUACAUGACUAUAUAGUGGGGCAAAAAAGUAUUUAGUCACCCACCAAUUGUGCAAGUUCUCCCACUU